rnacentral:lncRNA from 1 species
GUAGUCUUUGUUCUCAUUUAAACACUGAAUGGCCAUUGACUUCUUUUGAAAAAGAAAAAGAAAAAUGGUGAAGAAACUGAGGCUAAGAAAGACUUAUUGACAUAUUCAAGGUCAGAGAACAGAUAAAUGGUAAAGAUAUAUUUUUAUAGGAAGGAGAAUACUCCUAUUAUUCAGCUCUAUAAAGGAAAAUUCUGACACAUGCUACAACAUGGAUGAAUGUUGAAGACAUUAUGCUAAGUGAAAUAAGACAGACAUAAAGGACAAAUACUGUAUGAUUCUACAUAUGUGAGGUACAUAGGGUAGUCCAGUUUUAUAGGAACAGAAAGUAGAAUAAAUGUUGGCAGGGGCUGGGAGCAGAGGGAAAUGUGAAGUUAUUGUUUAGUAGGCACAGGGUUUCAAUUUAGAAAGAUGAAAAGUUCUGGACAUAGAUAGUGGUGAUGUUUAUACAACAAUGUAAAUGUACUUAAUUCUUCUGGACUGCAUACUUUUAAGUGGCAAAAAUGUAAUUGUAAUGUUAUG